GAAUCUUGUCAUUUUAGAUUAAGACUUAGUCAUCUAAAAUCAAAUUCCUAUACCCAUGGCUCCUCCUUUAUCCAAUUGCUUGAAAGUUGCUAGUUAGUUGUGUUAGAACCUUGUUAGUUUAAUCAAACCACUUAUUUACACUGAAAGCACUUAGAUUAAGUUUGAACCUGAAUUCUCUCUACAUUAAAACUAUUAGAAAUGGAUUGACAUCUUAAAUAUUACAUGAUUUGAACCUUGGACCCUUGAAAAGUCCAUAUCAAAUUUGGUGUCGUUGUCAAUUCUAAGUUGUUUUGACAUUGAGAUUUGGUCUAUACUUGAGACUAAGUCUUAAUUUUCUUAUAUCUAGUUACUGAUUCUCUCUUCUAGCUCUUUUGAAUGUCAGGUACAUGAACUUGAGGAGUUGAAGA
rnacentral:lncRNA from 1 species